rnacentral:tRNA from 1 species
UAGGGUGCAGCUCAGUGGUGCAGUGCUUGCCUCGCAUGCAAGGGGCCCUGGGUUCUAUCCCCAGCACCAUGC